rnacentral:rRNA from 1 species
ACGAACGCUGGCGGCAUGCCUAACACAUGCAAGUCGAACGAACCCUUCGGGGUUAGUGGCGCACGGGUGCGUAACGCGUGGGAAUCUGCCCUUUGCUUCGGAACAACAGUUAGAAAUGACUGCUAAUACCGGAUGAUGUCGCAAGACCAAAGAUUUAUCGGCAAAGGAUGAGCCCGCGUAGGAUUAGGUAGUUGGUGAGGUAAAGGCUCACCAAGCCGACGAUCCUUAGCUGGUCUGAGGGGAUGAUCAGCCACACUGGGACUGAGACACGGCCCAGACUCCUACGGGAGGCAGCAGUGGGGAAUAUUGGACAAUGGGCGAAAGCCUGAUCCAGCAAUGCCGCGUGAGUGAUGAAGGCCUUAGGGUUGUAAAGCUCUUUUACCAGGGAUGAUAAUGACAGUACCUGGAGAAUAAGCUCCGGCUAACUCCGU